rnacentral:rRNA from 1 species
GUGAACGCUGGCGGUAGGCCUAACACAUGCAAGUCGAACGGCAGCACAGUAAGAGCUUGCUCUUACGGGUGGCGAGUGGUGGACGGGUGAGGAAUACAUCGGAAUCUACUUUUUCGUGGGGGAUAACGUAGGGAAACUUACGCUAAUACCGCAUACGACCUACGGGUGAAAGCCGGGGAUCUUCGGACCUUGCGCGAUUGAAUGAGCCGAUGUCGGAUUAGCUAGUUGGCGGGGUAAAGGCCCACCAAGGCGACGAUCCGUAGCUGGUCUGAGAGGAUGAUCAGCCACACUGGAACUGAGACACGGUCCAGACUCCUACGGGAGGCAGCAGUGGGGAAUAUUGGACAAUGGGCGCAAGCCUGAUCCAGCCAUACCGCGUGGGUGAAGAAGGCCUUCGGGUUGUAAAGCCCUUUUGUUGGGAAAGAAAAGCAGCAGGUUAAUACCCCGCUGUUCUGACGGUACCCAAAGAAUAAGCGCCGGCUAACUUCGUG